rnacentral:tmRNA from 1 species
GGGGGUGAGUUAGUUUCGACAGGUAUUAAAAGCUAAACUUUUGUUCGGUUGAGUGAUCCCGUGAUUCACGACACUUUUUAUAAGUGCAAACGACAAUUUUGAAGCUGAUUCUGCUGAGUACGCAGUAGCUGCCUAGUUUAUAGGUAGUACAGCGCGGUUUGGGGCGGCCGGUCAACAGAACGCCCCAAU